GAGUUUGAUCCUGGCUCAGGACGAACGCUGGCGGCGCGCCUAACACAUGCAAGUCGAACGAGAGAGGGGGAGCUUGCUUCCUCAAUCGAGUGGCGAACGGGUGAGUAACGCGUGAGGAACCUGCCUCAAAGAGGGGGACAACAGUUGGAAACGACUGCUAAUACCGCAUAAGCCCACAGGUCGGCAUCGACCAGAGGGAAAAGGAGCAAUCCGCUUUGAGAUGGCCUCGCGUCCGAUUAGCUAGUUGGUGAGGUAAUGGCCCACCAAGGCGACGAUCGGUAGCCGGACUGAGAGGUUGAACGGCCACAUUGGGACUGAGACACGGCCCAGACUCCUACGGGAGGCAGCAGUGGGGAAUAUUGCACAAUGGGGGAAACCCUGAUGCAGCGACGCCGCGUGGAGGAAGAAGGUCUUCGGAUUGUAAACUCCUGUUGUUGAGGAAGAUAAUGACGGUACUCAACAAGGAAGUGACGGCUAACUACGUGCCAGCAGCCGCGGUAAAACGUAGGUCACAAGCGUUGUCCGGAAUUACUGGGUGUAAAGGGAGCGCAGGCGGGAAGACAAGUUGGAAGUGAAAUCUAUGGGCUCAACCCAUAAACUGCUUUCAAAACUGUUUUUCUUGAGUAGUGCAGAGGUAGGCGGAAUUCCCGGUGUAGCGGUGGAAUGCGUAGAUAUCGGGAGGAACACCAGUGGCGAAGGCGGCCUACUGGGCACCAACUGACGCUGUGGCUCGAAAGUGUGGGUAGCAACAGGAUUAGAUACCCUGUAGUCCACACCGUAAACGAUGAUUACUAGGUGUUGGAGGAUUGACCCCUUCAGUGCCGCAGUUAACACAAUAAGUAAUCCACCUGGGGAGUACGACCGCGAGGUUGAAACUCAAAGGAAUUGACGGGGGCCCGCACAAGCAGUGGAGUAUGUGGUUUAAUUCGACGCAACGCGAAGAACCUUACCAAGUCUUGACAUCCUGCGACGCACAUAGAAAUAUGUGUUUCCUUCGGGACGCAGAGACAGGUGGUGCAUGGUUGUCGUCAGCUCGUGUCGUGAGAUGUUGGGUUAAGUCCCGCAACGAGCGCAACCCUUACUGUCAGUUACUACGCAAGAGGACUCUGGCAGGACUGCCGUUGACAAAACGGAGGAAGGUGGGGAUGACGUCAAAUCAUCAUGCCCUUUAUGACUUGGGCUACACACGUACUACAAUGGCGUUAAACAAAGAGAAGCAAGACCGCGAGGUGGAGCAAAACUCAGAAACAACGUCCCAGUUCGGACUGCAGGCUGCAACUCGCCUGCACGAAGUCGGAAUUGCUAGUAAUCGUGGAUCAGCAUGCCACGGUGAAUACGUUCCCGGGCCUUGUACACACCGCCCGUC
rnacentral:rRNA from 1 species